CCUACGGGUGGCAGCAGUAGGGAAUAUUGCUCAAUGGGCGAAACCCUGAACCAGCAACGUCGCGUGGAGGAUGACGGCCCUCGGAUUGUUAACCUUCUUUUUUAGAGAAGUAAAUGACGGCACCUAUCGAAUAAGCUCUGGCUAAUUCCGUGCCAGCAGCCGCGGUACUACGGAGGGUGCAAGCGUUAUUCGGAAUCACUGGGCGUAAAGGGCGCGUAGGCGGGUUAGCAAGUCAGUUGUGAAAUCCUAUGGCUUAACCAUAAAAUUGCAUUUGAAACUGGUAGUCUAGAGUAUAGGAGAGGUAGGUGGAAUUCGUGGUGUAGGGGUAAAAUCCGUAGAGAUCAAGAAGAAUACUCAUUGCGAAGGCGACCUGCUAGAACGUAACUGACGCUGAUGCGCGAAAGCGUGGGGAGCAAACAGGAUUAGAUACCCCUGUAGUC
rnacentral:rRNA from 1 species